GUGCUUGCUUUGGCAGCACAUAUACUAAGAUUGGAAUGAUACAGAGAAGAUCAGCAUGGCCCCUGCGCAAGGACGACACACAAAUUUAUGAAGCAUUCCAUCCAGUC
rnacentral:snRNA from 1 species